UGGUUCUGGCAUCGAUGAAGAACGCAGCGAAAUGCGAUAAGUAAUGCGAAUUGCAGAAUUCAGUGAGUCAUCGAAUCUUUGAACGCACAUUGCGCCCUUUGGUAUUCCGAAGGGCAUGCCUGUCCGAGCGUCAUUAUCAACCCUCAAGCUCAGCUUGCUGUUGGACUUUUCGUCGUUAACCCGACGGGUCUCAAAGACAAUGACGGAGUCGUGUUGAACCCCCGAUGCAACGAGCUCUUGUAGCACGCAAAGAGGGCCAGCCACUCUUGGUCUUACCUUACUCAAAUUUUCUCAGGUUGACCUCGGAUCAGGUAGGAAUACCCGCUGA
rnacentral:misc_RNA from 1 species